UUUAUGGAGAGUUUGAUCCUGGCUCAGGAUGAACGCUGGCGGCGUGCCUAAUACAUGCAAGUCGAGCGAACGGACGAGAAGCUUGCUUCUCUGAUGUUAGCGGCGGACGGGUGAGUAACACGUGGAUAACCUACCUAUAAGACUGGGAUAACUUCGGGAAACCGGAGCUAAUACCGGAUAAUAUUUUGAACCGCAUGGUUCAAAAGUGAAAGACGGUCUUGCUGUCACUUAUAGAUGGAUCCGCGCUGCAUUAGCUAGUUGGUAAGGUAACGGCUUACCAAGGCAACGAUGCAUAGCCGACCUGAGAGGGUGAUCGGCCACACUGGAACUGAGACACGGUCCAGACUCCUACGGGAGGCAGCAGUAGGGAAUCUUCCGCAAUGGGCGAAAGCCUGACGGAGCAACGCCGCGUGAGUGAUGAAGGUCUUCGGAUCGUAAAACUCUGUUAUUAGGGAAGAACAUAUGUGUAAGUAACUGUGCACAUCUUGACGGUACCUAAUCAGAAAGCCACGGCUAACUACGUGCCAGCAGCCGCGGUAAUACGUAGGUGGCAAGCGUUAUCCGGAAUUAUUGGGCGUAAAGCGCGCGUAGGCGGUUUUUUAAGUCUGAUGU
rnacentral:rRNA from 1 species